UAUGACCACAUCACUUUGAAACAGCAGGAUUCAUAAGAUCACCGAUGUUAAGUAACGUCGAGCCUGCUCAGUAAUUAGAUGGGUGACUUCUUGGGAAUACCAGGU